UACGGAAGGCAGCAGUAGGGAAUAUUGCACAAUGGGCGCAAGCCUGAUGCAGCCAUGCCGCGUGUAUGAAGAAGGCCUUCGGGUUGUAAAGUACUUUCAGCGGGGAGGAAGGGAGUAAAGUUAAUACCUUUGCUCAUUGACGUUACCCGCAGAAGAAGCACCGGCUAACUCCGUGCCAGCAGCCGCGGUAAUACGGAGGGUGCAAGCGUUAAUCGGAAUUACUGGGCGUAAAGCGCACGCAGGCGGUUUUGUUAAGUCAGAUGUGAAAUCCCCGGGCUCAACCUGGGAACUGCAUCUGAUACUGGCAAGCUUGAGUCUCGUAGAGGGGGUAGAAUUCCAGGUGUAGCGGUGAAAUGCGUAGAGAUCUGGAGGAAUACCGGUGGCGAAGGCGGGCCCCUGGACGAGACUGACGCUCAGGUGCGAAAGCGUGGGGAGCGAAACAGGGAUUAGGAU
rnacentral:rRNA from 1 species